GGAGAACUCAAUGAGCGGGUGUGUGUGUGUUUGUGUGCCUCGAUUGAAUGAUUGAUUAGUCGGCUGACGGGUCGAUGUGUGCGUGUGCAAAUGCGCAAUAAAUCUUUGGAUUUUCUGCCUUAUCAUAUCAGUGAAACAAAAGAACCAUGGAAUCGGAGUCUUCAAUAUGCCGUGUUUGCCUCGUUAACUACGAUAAUAUGGUCAAAAAAAAUAAAAUUCGGUCAACCGAACUUUGUAAAGUGUCGGAGGAUGUGCGACAUGGCUGCAGGAUUAUCGGCGGGUACCAUGUGACCAGCACGGUUAACCCAGAACAUGCUAAAGUUACCAUAGGUCUUCUCGUAGCCCUCCAAAACUCG